rnacentral:tRNA from 1 species
GCCUCCAUCGUCUAGUGGUCAGGACAUGGGACUUUCAAUCCCAGAACAGGGGUUCAAUUCCCCUUGGGGGUG